rnacentral:lncRNA from 1 species
AGGGAGAAAAGCCCGCCCGAGGCGCGGUGCUGACGGUGGCUGGGCUGCCGGGUGCGCUGUGGAACCGCCUCCUGCUAGAGCAGCGGGCUGGCGACGGUCCUCGCCGGGGCGGGAAGCGGCUCAGGCUGCCCUCGCUGGCCUGCGGCGGCGCGGCUGGAAGCGCGGGCCACUCGUGCGUGGGUCACUCAGGACUGCGCCUCGCGCGACUGUGUGUGCAGGAAACAAGCAGGAAAUACCCUAAAAGAGAAUGAAGCGCCAUGUUGAGGGUCGCGGACGUCGCGAGUGCUGUGGGAAUGUGGGCUGAGGUGGAGAGUUAUGGUAGCCCGUGUUACAGGCUCAGGGGUCUGAAAGAAGCCUAAUCGUGGAGGCGGCAUCUGAGGAGGGUCUUGAAGGCUGGGCAGGCAUUUGCCCGACAGAGAUGGAGGAAGCUAGUCCUGUCUGAUGGAGGAAACAGGGCGGAGGCGUGGAGGGAGCCGUGCAGCGCUGGUGUGAGGAGCAGCGAGCAGGCCAGGCCUGUAAAGCAGAGUGAGGGAACCAGGAUAGAGAAGGCUGUACAGGAAGCAUGGUGAUGGCAUCUGCAUGGCGCCUGUGGAGGCCCCAGGGAGCUUUUACUCAUGAUGGAAGGCACAGAGGGAGUAGGCACAUCACAUGGUCCGAGGAGGAGCAAGAGAAAAUGGGAGUGGGGCUCUUUGUCCUGGGAAGAGUUUGCUGCAUCUUCCAGUUUCAGUAAUCAAAGAAGCAAAGUUCCCUGCAGUUCUUCAAGGAACCUUGAGAAUUCAGAAGGUCUUGGGGUGGCUGCAUCCAUCCUGCAGACAAAUGCCAAUCAGCAGAGGGGCCAUUCCCAGGGACACAUGUCUGGCUGACUUGGGCCUUGGCCAGGCUGCAACUCUCCUGUUACUCUGGGGGAAAGCUUAACAACUAAGAUUCAGAGCAAAGGAAGACGAUGCCGGCAGCAGGCUUUGGGUGCUUGUGGGGCAGCAGGUUGUACCAGGGGCAGGUGCAGACCCCUGCCUCCCUUGCCUUCACCACAGUCACAACAGGCCAGGCCAGCCCAUCCAUCAUGUCUCUAGGAUAUCUCAGGGGUUCAAGGCCACCACACCAUUUGCAGCACACUCCACUCGCUGAUCUGUGAUAUGGGAGAUGUGCUUAUUGGCGAAUAAAUCACCAUGUCAAGUUAACGGCCUGUGUCCAAGGCGAGUGACUUCGAGGUCAGCAUAGCAGCAUACCAUUGGAUGCAGCGGGUUCUGCUUCUGCGCACAGUGCCUCAUCAGAACAUAAAUUUUCAAAUACCAGAUGUGAUAAAAGACAACAUCGAGCUUUCUGUUUUUUGAAGGAGAGGAGAAGGAGAUCCUGGAUACAUUCUCUGAAAGGUGCCUCCACUUCAUCACUGAUCCCGACACGUGGGAGGAAGGAGAGGAGGACAGUGAAGACCAUCAGCAAGGGAGAGCAGGUUCCCUGCCCUGGAUCCCUGCCCUGGUCCCCUGCCCUGAUUCCCUGCCCCAUGUUGUAGGUCUUUGGGCUACAUUUCUACCCAUUGGCUGAACAUAAAAACUGUCCUAUGAACUAUUUGGCAGCAAGUUCACAGCAAAGAAUAUUAACUCUGUGAGGCACCUUAGACAAUGCCUGGCUUAACCCCCACUUGACAAAUAAAGACACAUGUUCUGACUCACCCACCAUCCCAGGAGCAACUGACCAGGCUGAGGAACUCUGUCCACUGCCUGCAGCCCACUUGGCCUUCCACUGUGACGUCCAGGCUGAGGAACUGUGUCUGCCACCUGCAGCCCACUUGGCCUUCCACUGUGAUGUCCUUUCCAGGACUCUGAGCAGAGAUGGGUUUAUAACAAGCAUAAAUUGUUAUUUUGUAUCGAUCUGCACAUCAAUUUAUAUAUUUUGAAAAUUAAAAGAAAUCCAAUGAUAAGAAUUUUUCUCACAAGUUAAUUAAGGAAACUAGGUCAAUGGAAAUUUCUUAGGUUAUGAAAAUAUUGAUGUGAAUAUGUUAUGUGAGAAUCAUUUCAAAAUGAGUUAAAGGGGCUGGGCACAGUGGUUCACACCUGUAAUCCCAGCACUUUGGGAGGCCAAGGUGGGUGGAUCAUGAGGUCAAGACAUUGAGACCAUCCUGGCCAACAUGGUGAAACCCUGUCUCUACUAAAAAUACAAAAAUUAGCCAGGCAUGGUGGCACAUGCCUGUAGUCCCAGCUACUCAGGAGGCUGAGGCGGGAGAAUAGCUUGAACCUGGGAGGUGGAGGUUGCUGUCACGCGACUGCACUCCAGCCUGGUGAGAGAGCAAGAGAGCAAGACUCCGUCUCAAAAAAAAAAAAAAAAAAAAAAACAAACCAGGAGUUACAGGAAUCUAGGAUAUUUUGCUUUCUGUCCCUAAACUUUGGGGCUUAAUUUGGCAGAAACUUGGGAGUGGGAGGGUGAAGUUUGUGGCGUCCUGCUUGCCUUGAAUUUGUGGUGGCCACAGAAUGCAGGCUUGACUUCAUGCAGGUUCUCAUACAUCAUUAUGGAGAACAUCUUUUUGUAUUUACUUCAAUAUUUAUUUUGUAGUGAAAAUAAAAGCAAUACCAGUUUUCUGAAGGGUUUCUUAAAUCAAUUCCUUUGUGUCCUAUAGGGCAAUACUUUGCUCCUAGAGAAGUCUGUGAACCAUUGGUGUCUUUGAUUUGUCUCAUUAGAACGCCCACCCUCAU